GUCUCCCAUUCGCCUGCUUGAAUCCCUGAAUAACCUGUGCUUUGCCUGCACUCCCCCAAAACCCUGAGGUGCYUGCAGCAGCCUCAGGCUGCCAUCAGUCUGGCAGCUGGAAUGGGCAGAGCUCCAGCCCCUUUGGUUUUCCUGCCUGCCAUGAGGAAUAACUGUCGGCAAAGCGCUCGAGGGAGCUGAGCCCUCAAUGAGGCAUGAGAGCAGCAGGCUUCUCCUGGAGCAGUGACAAGCAGGCAUGCAACUCUGCCUGUCUUCCUCACCGCUUCCUGGGGAGAGGCCUGUCCUUUCUCAGCCCUCCAGGAUAUUUCUCAGAGCUUGCUUUCACCCUGCCCAGUAAUUACACUSUGCCACCCCUUUGGAGGUGCAGGAAGGAGGCGAUGGAGCCUCASCUGGCCCUGCACGAAUCAGUCACUGCUUCUUGUUUCCCAUUUCUUCUGGGUUUUUCACUCUAGAGGCAAAAGAAAGACAACAAAAAAUACUUUCCCAUGUUUGCUGAGCCCAGGUUAGCUUCUUCAACACCUGUAACUGACUUGGUUAAGUGUCARUGGGGAUUGGAAUUGUGUGACACCAUGCAGUUGGCUUCAGAGGCCUAGCYUGACAAAUCAUGGCCAUGUUCCUUCCUKUGGGGGCCCUUCCCAUUCCCUCUGGAGCCAGAAGCACUUCUGCAUCCUGGAGAGACCCAGUGUSUGUAGCAGCAUGGGGAUGACACUGCUGCCCUUCUUUCAAGUUGUUUGGAACUCUGGACAGUGCUCAGCAUCCUGGUCUCUAGGUCACUUUGGUUCUCUCUGCUGUGGGUAGCAGGAGUUGUCUGUGCCAGGCAGUUGGGCUGGACUCAGCUUUUCACUUGGCUUCAGUGGCUCUUGGUUGUGAGGGCGGGUUGGCCUGARGAGAAGUGGUUUGGAUGCAGCGCCUGUCAUGGGGCUGGCUUUGCCAGAGCUGAGGGCAGGAUUGGGCUGCUUUGCCCUCUGGAGUCCCUCUUGGUUUGUGACUAUGGUCUCACAUUUGUGACUACUUGUUGCCCUGAACGUUUCUAGAAGACAAAUGGCCUGGUAACCUGGGGUGGCCAGCACAGGACWGGCAGUGUCCUCCCUCUGAUGUAGUGCCUCCUGCCACUGGCUGUGCCCACACUGAGUGUGGGGUCUGUGCUUGGUUCAUGGGUGAGGGCAGAAUAGGGUGUUCCCGAGGGCACAGCUUGCCUCCCACUGAGGGAGAGGCASGCUCCGUGGAGCUGGGCUAGGACAAGAUGCUGUUGGGCUCGGCUCCGUGUCCUCAGAUGGGAGCUGGGCCGUGGGAUGUGUGUGAAUCAGUGCACUGGGAGCUGCAGCAGGCAGCUGGCACCUGGGGGUGGGCGGGAUCCGUGUGGCUGGGCCCGUUUCCCUGCUGCAAACCCCUKCAGGCUGGUGAGCACUGCCAGGGUCGGGUUGUGCAGCCAGGGCAACGAGGGAGGAAACCUUCCCAGGUCUCUGCUCUCACCGCCUCCACAGAGACACCUCCAGUGGGACUAUUUUCUGUAGGUUGUUUCAGCUCUCCUCUCUCAAAACUCUGAGCACCACAGGGUGACACUCAUGAGUGCAACGGACUAGCCCUUGUGCCAGCAUCUGCCUAACGCURUAGAGGAGCUGGCUUUGUAGGGAGGGCAUGUCUGAGGGGGCAGGGGUGAGCCAUUUAUGUGCCCCUUUCAGCCUGCUCUCUUCCUGGGGCACGAAGAGCAGAGGUAUCCUGUUUCCAGGCCAGGCCCUGCUGACGCUGUCUGUAAACUGUCUGGGAGAUAAAUAUUCAAGGUGCACUCAUGCUGGUUAAGCUCCCGGCUAGUGGGCGAAGGGGGAGGAACUCUSCUUUUGCCAGGGAGCUCUGCUCUCAUCUGUCAUGGGAGACUGUCCCAGACCUGCUUCCUUCUUAGGGUGUUACUGGCUCCURUUCUGGCCCUGUUACACAGGGCACUGUUUGACUGAAAUAGCUGUCGCUCCAAGCUGCGUGAUAGGCUCCCCCAGUUGACUCUGGAGGCUCAAUUUUGCAGAUCCAGGCCUCCUCAUGUCCUUGCCCUCAGCUGUGUCUCCAGGUGUUGUUAGCACCAGGGGCUUCUCUGGGCCAGUGUUGCUAUAGUGGGAGCCAUGAGCAUGACACUUGCUUUCCAGGUUUUUAAUGCGUGCCACAUACUGAAGACCCCCGGUUGUAUGCUGGGAGCAUUGACAAGCACAUGCUUUUGGCAGUAAGCACUGUAGCAGCUGUGAUGAGGCCACUACUUCCUUGCCAGAGAGUUUGACCACAGAGAGUCGCCAAGAUAGCUGGGCCAGGAAGAAAACGUCGCACCCCUGACCCAGACUCCAUUACCGACCCCGGCGGGCCGUUUGUGUCCUCCAAACGGCUGAAAAUGUCCAGCAGCACGAAUGUCCCUGGCCAGAGGAGAGUGUCUCGGGGCCUGGAUGAUGCYGCCAACAAGAAGAAGCAGAAGGAUCGAGCCAAUCAGGAAAGCAAGGAAGAGCUGCUGCUGGAUUGGAAGCAGAAUGCCGAUGAGAUCAUCAUCAAGUUAAACUUGGGCAGUGGAGCUCUGAAGGCAGAGGAUGUACAUGCUGAUUUCACYGACACAGACUGUGUGCUCAAGCUACCAGACGGGCGCCAGUGGAGCUGUCAAUUCUAUGAGGAGAUUGAGGGCUCCUGCAGCAAGAUCCAGUGCAAGAAGGGCAACUUUCUCCAGCUUGUGCUUCAGAAGAAGAUCCCACUCCAUAACUGGUCUUCACUUCUGAAAAAGAGGAAAGACGGAUCCAAAGAACAUGCCAAAGGGACCACAUGCUGGGAGAAUGGGAAAGAGAAGGCUGCUUCUGCAGAGUUGACCCCUGAAGAGCCAAGGACUGAAGGCACAGAACAACCAAGAUCCCGGCGGGAGCCCUCCAACCCCAAGCGUGCUCCAGGAAGAAGCGAGGCCCUGGGAGGGAAAAGCCCAGCCAGCCCAGGGACACAGAGUGGCCCCAGCGCCAAGCGGGCAGUAUACCUCAAAGUGGCUCCCACUGAGGAGGAGCCGAAUGCCAGAGUCACUGGGAACACAGAGUCCAGCAAAGGACACAGUGGGAGGGCCAGCAGCCGCCGCAACGGCAGAGCCAGCCAGGUUGAUGCGCCCGCAGCCCUUGCAGAACUCGCACUGCCACUGGAAAAGGCUGUGGUUUUGGCCAAGGAGACUGUUCCAGUGGAGAUGCCGCCUCUUGCGGCUACCACAGAGGUGUUCCCCCACCGUGUUGCCACCUGUGUUGAGAAGAGAAUCCUGCAGCCAGGCAGCCCUGCUGAGGCCUUGCGGAGCCGGGACUGCCCACCUGUCCUGGGAGAGAGCUCUAAGGCCAUCCCAGUGGCCACCCCUCCCAUGGGCAGAGAUGGUGAGAAGCGGGACUGGUCCAAGGAUGAYGUGGCUCUGGAAGCAGCAGCUGAUGAGCCAGAGCCUUUUGUAAGCCUGACCUUUGUCAAGAAUGACUCAUACGAGAAGGGCAAUGAUCUCGUGGUGGUGCAUGUCUAUGUGAAGGAGAUCCACAAGGAGACAUCCAAGGUGUUGUUCCGGGAACAAGACUUCACGCUAGUGUUCCAGACGAGUGACACAAACUUCCUGCGUCUUCAUCCUGGCUGUGGGCCCCACACGGUGUUCCGGUGGCAGGUGAAGCUCAGGAACCUCAUUGAGCCGGACCAGUGCACRUACACCUUCACGGUAUCUCGCAUCGAUGUCUGCCUGAAGAAACGCCACAGCCAGCGCUGGGGGGGUCUGGAGGCUCCAGCCACACGAGGUGCAGUGGGUGGUGCAAAGGUUGCCAUGCCUACAGGCCCUACCCCUCUGGAUAAGAACCCUCCGGGCAGUAACCAGCACCCCCUGUCCAGCAAGGAAGAGGCCCGAACCAGUGACAAAGAGAAGCCGCGUGUGGAAGAUGGGGCUCUGGAUGGYGUGGCAGCCCGUACAGCCCCAGAGCAUGUGGCAGUGAAGCAAGAGCCACACAUUCCUUCGCCCAAACCAACAUGUAUGGUGCCACCAAUGACACACAGUCCUGUGAGUGCCGAGAGCGUGGAGGACGAUGAGGAUGAGGAUGAGAAGAAGAAGGUCUGCCUGCCUGGCUUCACUGGGCUGGUGAAUUUGGGCAACACCUGCUUCAUGAACAGCGUCAUCCAGUCCCUGUCCAACACCCGGGAACUGCGUGACUACUUCCAUGAUCGGUCUUUUGAGUCAGAAAUCAACUACAACAACCCGCUGGGGACGGGGGGACGCCUGGCCAUCGGCUUUGCCAUGCUGCUUAGAGCACUGUGGAAGGGCACACACCAUGCCUUCCAGCCCUCUAAACUGAAGGCAAUUGUGGCCAGCAAGGCCAGCCAGUUCACUGGCUAUGCGCAGCAUGAUGCUCAGGAGUUCAUGGCCUUCCUGCUUGAUGGCCUGCAUGAAGACCUCAACCGCAUCCAGAACAAGCCCUACACAGAGACUGUUGACUCGGAUGGGAGGCCUGAUGAGGUGGUAGCUGAGGAGGCUUGGCAACGGCACAAGAUGAGGAAUGACUCGUUCAUAGUAGACCUCUUCCAGGGCCAGUACAAAUCUAAGCUCGUGUGCCCAGUGUGCUCCAAGGUGUCUAUUACGUUUGACCCCUUCCUGUACCUCCCCGUGCCCCUCCCACAGAAGCAAAAGGUGCUGACUGUCUACUACUUUGCAAAGGAGCCACACAAGAAGCCCAUCAAGUUCCUCGUGAGUAUCAGCAAGGAGAACUCCAGUGCCAUGGAGGUACUUGACUCAGUGGCCCACAGCGUGCGYGUGAAACCAGAGAACCUGCGCCUGGCAGAGGUGAUCAAGAAUCACUUCCACCGCAUGUUCCUGCCGUCCCACUCACUAGACACGGUCUCACCGACAGACCUGCUGCUCUGCUUUGAGGUGCUAUCCCCAGAGCUGGCCAAGGAGCGCGUGGUGGAGCUUCAGGUCCAGCAGCGUCCCCAGGUGCCUAGUGGCCCUGUGGCCAAGUGUGCGGCCUGCCAGAAGAAGCAGUUGCCGGAGGAUGAGAAACUCAAGCGCUGCACGAGGUGCUAUCGAGUCGGUUACUGCAACGUGGCAUGUCAGAAAACCCACUGGCCAGACCACAAGGCUUCGUGCCGCCCUGAGAACAUCGGUUUCCCCUUCCUCAUCAGUGUGCCUGAGUCCCGCCUCACCUACGCCCGCCUGGCUCAGCUGCUGGAGGGCUACGCUAGGUACUCAGUCAGCGUGUUCCAGCCUCCAUUCCAGCUGGGCCGGAUGUCACCAGAGCAGGGGCUGCAGCCUCUGCACUCGGACAAGCUGGAGCCCCUGGCCAAAAGCAGCUGUGCAGCAGCCACCUCUGCCUCUGAGCUGGGGGAUGGAGACAGGGCUUCCAGCCUCCUGCAGGAGCCCCCACUCUCACCAGCUGUGCCUGAGCUGCACCCAGAGAUUGGGGAUACUACUACUACUACUGUCCGGAGCAAGGUGCUGACAGCCAGGAGUUCCCUGCUGAGCUUGGAUUCGGGGUUCUCUGAGCACAUGGAGUCGCAGGGUGACAGCUGUUGUGAGAAGGAGCCAUCCUAUGAGAAAGCCCUCAAGCCAGAAGCUGCCAUCCCUGGGUACCAGCACACUCCAGACUCACUGAGUGCCCGUGCCACACAGUUCUACAUCACUAAGAUCGACGCUGCCAACCGAGAGCACAAGCUGGAAGAUAAAGGUGACACCCCCCUGGAUCUGACAGAUGACUGCUCCCUUGCCCUGGUGUGGAAGAACAAUGAGCGCCUCAAGGAAUUUGUGUUGGUAGAAUCCAAGGAGUUGGAAUGUGUGGAGGACCCAGGCUCAGCCAGCGAAGCAGCCCGGGCUGGCCACUUCACCCUGGAGCAGUGCCUCAAUCUCUUCACCAAACCCGAAGUCUUGGCCCCAGAGGAAGCAUGGUACUGCCCCAAGUGCAAGCAGCACCGUGAGGCUUCCAAGCAGCUGAUGCUGUGGCGACUGCCCAACGUCCUCAUCAUCCAGCUCAAGCGCUUCUCCUUUCGCAGCUUUAUUUGGAGGGAUAAGAUCAAUGACAUGGUGGACUUUCCUGUCCGGAGUCUGGACCUGAGCAAGUUCUGCAUUGGUCGGAAGGGUGAGCAGCAGCUGCCUAUGUAUGACCUGUACGCUGUGAUCAACCACUAUGGAGGCAUGAUUGGAGGGCACUACACAGCGUACGCCCGUCUGCCCAACGACAAGAACAGCCAGCGCAGUGACGUGGGCUGGCGGCUCUUCGACGACAGCACAGUCACCACUGUAGAUGAGAGCCAGGUGGUGACCAGAUAUGCUUAUGUCCUCUUCUAUCGCCGGAGGAACUCUCCYGUGGAGAGACCCCUGCCAGGGCAUCCCUCAGACCACCGCACCGAGCGCACCCCCUCUGCUGARGCUGCUGCCAGCCAGGCUUCUCUGAUCUGGCAGGAACUGGAGGCUGAAGAACAAGAGCUGCAGUUUGAGGCGCCCCAAAGGCCUGCAAGAAACUCCUGGAGGCCCYGUGGCCAGAAGCGGAGUCCGGGCACCCCCCAGCAUCCAGAUGAAGGCUGCAUCAGAUACUUUGUCCUGGCCACCACGGCCGCAAUUGUGGCUCUCUUCCUGAACGUCUUCUACCCGCUCAUUUACCAGCCCCGCUGGAGAUAGGCACAGGCACGUGGCCAGCUGCAGGAGCAGGGCCGCCAGGGCACGCGCCGUCCUAGGACGUUGUGAGACGAAGACAUCGGGCAGCAGCACAGAAAACGCCGGGAAGGACUCGCCAAGGGAACAUGGGGCUGUCGGCUCCUGCCUGUCUGCUCCGACAUCUCCUAUGCCAGCUGGCAGGUCUGUGUGGCCAGCCCGCUGCCUUGCCAAGGCACAGCCCAGAACCAGGAGCUCCUUUGCCUUUCCUUGCUGCCCACUGGGAGCAGGGCAGAUCUCAUGGCUACCUGCUGCUCAAGAAGAGAUGGUGCUGCUGCUGCAGUGCAGCUGGGACCUGAGAGCCCCACCAGCUCAUCAACCAUCUCUGCUUGGGUCCCAAGAAGGAAGUGGAGACCUGUUGGGAGGCUGCAGCAAGGGCGGGAUGCCCUGACAUGAGCCCUGGCUGGCCGCCUUUCUCAGCUGUGCUGCUGCAGGAGCCUUGAGCUCCCCCAGGGCUGGYGUGACCCAUGGUGGUUGGCCAGCCACUCCGUCCUGCCAGCCUCCUGCUGAGCCUCCUGGUGCCAGCUGCCUGGUGCCAACUGAGCUGGGAGUUGUGUAUGGUGUACUCCUGUGCUGGGGCUGGACAGGCUUGUCACCAAGGGCUUGUAUGCUUCCCUGCUUUGUCCCAGGCAGCUGCUGGGGAGCCUGGCAAUACAGACUGUGGUGCCCAGGGUGAGCACUCAUCUCUGUGGGCCACUGCCUCCCAGAAGUCCGUGGGGCUGUGUGCUGGCAGCAUCUGGGGAAGUUGGUCUCUUCAGGGGAGUGUGGUGCAGCACCUAAUUUGUGAGGGCACAGUUGCCCAUGCUGUGGGAGAGCCAAGGGGCCAGGCAGCACAGGGACUGCCCCCGGUGCCGUUCGGAUCCGGCCUGGCCCCCGAAGGAGCCCCGCCRCUGGCUG